ACUCAACACUAACAAAUUAAAAUGAGUGAAUCUCCGUUUCUAAAGCAAGCUGCCUUGAGCAGAUCCUUGAACAACGGGUUAGCUCAAAACUUGUCCAUUACGAGUUU
rnacentral:sRNA from 1 species